rnacentral:rRNA from 1 species
GGCAUCUAGGGCCAUGUGCACGCUCUCUUCCGGACCUUUCGCCGUAUGGGCGCGGGGCGACCCGCGUCUUCAUAUACCUCUUCGUGUAGAAAGUCUUUGAAUGUUUUACCAUCAUCGAGUCGCGACUUCUAGGAGACGCGAUUCUUUGAGAAAAAAGUUAUUACAACUUUCAGCAACGGAUCUCUGCGUACUCGCAUCGAUGAAGAACGCAGCGAAUCGCGAUAUGUAAUGUGAAUUGCAGAUCUACAGUGAAUCAUCGAAUCUUUGAACGCACCUUGCGCUCCUCGGUGUUCCGAGGAGCAUGCCUGUUUGAGUGUCAGUAAAUUCUCAACCCCUCUCGAUUUGCUUCGAGCGGGUGCUUGGAUGUUGGGGGCUGCCGGAGACACUGGAYUCGUCCAGGACUCGGGCUCCUCUUAAAUGAAUCGGCUCGCGGUCGACUUUCGACUUUGCAUGACAAGGCCUUUGGCGUGAUAAUGAUCGCCGUUCGCCGAAGUGCAAGACAGAAUGGUCCCGUGCCUCUAAUGCGUCGACGCCUCUAGGGGCGUCUUCCUCAUU